GGGUUUACUCAUUGGUCAGGCUUAAUUGUCUGUACUGGUGAGAUGAAUCUCUACCUUCUGAGGAACUUUCAUGCCAUUUAUUUGGUGUGAUGGGAAAUCAGGACUGUUACCUUGAAAAAAUUAUAGUGUUUAAAGCAGGCUAACGUCUGAAUACAUUAGCAUGGAAUAAUAGAAUAGGACGGACUGAUUCUAUUUCGUUGGUUUCUAGGAUCACCGUA
rnacentral:rRNA from 1 species